GAUGAAGAACGUAGCGAAAUGCGAUACGUAAUGUGAAUUGCAGAAUUCAGUGAAUCAUCGAAUCUUUGAACGCAUAUUGUGCCUUCUGGUAUUCCGGAGGGCAUGCUUGUUUGAGUAUCAGUAACAACCUCAACUCUUCUUCAUUGCGGAGAAAGAGUUGGAUUUGAGCAUUUCCACAAGUUCGUCUUGGAGGAUUGCUUGAAAUAUGAGGUUCGGCCGGCAGUUGCCUGGGCUACAAGCAUUUCAUACUUAAUCCCGUCAAACGGAUUAUAUCCUUUGCUGCAGCCAACAUACAGGGUAACUUUGCCAGUGUUCCGACUGAUGCAGGAAAGUUGAGAACAGCUUUUUGCUUUCUCUUCUAAACUCGAUCUCAAAUCAAGUAAGACUACCCGCUGAACUUAAGCAUAUCAAUAAGCGGAGGA
rnacentral:misc_RNA from 1 species